CCUAAAGGAAAUUGGGGGAUGGGCGUUAAGAGAGGGGAGAAGAACUGUAGCAGUUGCGUUUUCACAUUGCUUAAUUGGAAAUUGUUCUCACGAAUACAGUCCGAAUUUUUAUAAUAGCUGGGUAUUUCAGAUGCUUUCACCUUUCUUUAAAUGAUCUUCAGAAAUUUACAUGCAUAUGAAGCAUCACUGCUUUAUAGUAUAGAUCGCUCGUAUGCCAGUGCACAAAGGUUGCAGUUCAUUGACUGUUCUUCCCUCAACACAACUCCCGACUGUAAGACCCUCUAUGAUGAUUGGUCUAUAAGAAGGAGUUUUCCUGUGAAAUAGACUGGAGUUGAUCCUCACAAGUCUAUAUGAGUUGGGGAAAUUUGGAAGCAGAGGAAACUGGGCAAUUUGCCUAGGAACCAAACACAAGUCGUGACACAGCUGGGAACCAUCUCACAUCUCUAGAAUCAGGAUGACUUGUUCCAAACUGCCUUUUCAGGCACAGGAUGAAAUGACGUGAUGUCCUUUUGCCUCAGACAAUGGGAUAUUUUUCCUCAGCCAAGCUCUAGUGUUUGAGCAGUCUCCUCAGAGGAAGAUCAAAGGGGUAGACUGUCUUUGACUUUGCUUCUUCUUUGCCUCUGUGCACAUCUGGAUCUGAGAAGUGUGGGAGACAGAGACACCAUUUCUCCAACAGCUCCUGAGGGCCAUGGGCGUGGUGCGACCAUUGCAGGAUCUGUAAAACAAGCAUUUCUGAAGAUGUUGCUCAGUUUAGCCGAAGAAAAUUUUCUCUGGGACUGCAAAUGUUGACUUCUUAUUCUAACAACAUUCCCCAUUUAUUUGAGAUAACUUUAUGAGAUUGAUUUCAGGUAAUCACAUUAAUUCA